rnacentral:rRNA from 1 species
UUUUCAAACCGGUGUAAGCCAGGUCGGUUUUUAUCCCCAAUUUUAUUAUAGUUUUUAGUACGAAAGGACCAUUAUUAUGAAAUUUUUUUUCUUUUUGGUUAAAGUU